CCAGCACGAUACUGACGCUCAGUCACGAAAGCGUGGGUAGCAAAUAGGAUUAGAUACCCUAGUAGUCCACGCCGUAAACGAUGAUGACUAACUAUUCCCGUGAGGGAGUGGUGAAGCUAACGCAUUAAGUCAUCCGCCUGGGGAGUACGGUCGCAAGACUGAAACUUAAAGGAAUUGACGGGACCCCGCACAAGUAGUGGAGCAUGUGGUUUAAUUCGACGCUACGCGGAAAACCUUACCAGGGCUUGACAUGGAGGCUAACAACUUAGAGAUAAGCGAAUAUACGCCUCACACAGGUGGUGCAUGGUUGUCGUCAGCUCGUGUCGUGAGAUGUUGGGUUAAGUCCCGCAACGAGCGCAACCCUUGUCGCUAGUUACCAUCAUUCAGUUGGGAACUCUAGCGAGACUGCCGAUGCAAAUCGGAGGAAGGUGGGGAUGACGUCAAAUCAGCAUGCCCUUUAUGUCCUGGGCUACACACGUGCUACAAUGGCCGGUACAGAGAGAUGCAAGAUCGCGAGAUGGAGCAAAUCCCACAAAGCCGGUCUCAGUUCAGAUUGGAGUCUGCAAUUCGACUCCAUGAAGGCGGAAUACUAGUAAUCGC
rnacentral:rRNA from 1 species